rnacentral:misc_RNA from 1 species
GUAGGUGAACCUGCGGAGGGAUCAUUAACACUAUUUGGCUGAUGUCGUUUAGUAUCUCGCAAGAGAGAAAACAUGAUGUUAGUUCAAAUUUUCACACACCCGUUGAACUCGAUUACUUCGGUAGUCAAUCCUCUGUUUUAAGUAUUAGGUUGUAAAUGUGACGAAGUGAGCCCAUAGCGGGCGACUAUACAACUAUGACUUAAAAUGGAAUUUUUGGGGAUGUUACACUUCAUGAUAUCCCGACCCCCUU